rnacentral:rRNA from 1 species
UACGAAGGGAGCUAGCGUUGUUCGGAAUCACUGGGCGUAAAGCGCACGUAGGCGGACUUGUAAGUCAGGGGUGAAAUCCCGGGGCUCAACCUCGGAACUGCCCUUGAUACUGCAAGCCUGGAGUCCGGAAGAGGUGGGUGGAAUUCCUAGUGUAGAGGUGAAAUUCAUAGAUAUUAGGAAGAACACCGGUGGCGAAGGCGGCCCACUGGUCCGGUACUGACGCUGAGGUGCGAAAGCGUUGGGAGCAAACAGG